rnacentral:lncRNA from 1 species
GCAUUGCCCCAUGGUGGGAUCCUGCAGAGAUGCAGUCCGCACCUGGCUGAUGAACGCUGGUGCCUUUGGCUGGCCCUGGAGAGCUUUGGCUGGAAGGAAGAUAUCGUGAGGACAGAAAUCACAGCGUAUAUGAUGUGACGGGAUCAUUUAUCUGCACUAGUUCAUAAUUAAAAACCAUUAAGGCAGAAGCCUGGUCCUUCGGUCCACGUGAGCAACGUAGCAGCUAGGCCAAACCAGCUUCCAAAAAAGCGCACCUCACAACCUCUCCCAGGGCGGGAGAGCUACCACGCACAGCUCGUUGCUACCAGCACAGCAGCACGGCAGAAGUUCACACCCAGAAUGGGCACGGAACUACCUGCAGAAAGCUUUCAACAUCCCCUUUCACACGGGGCAGCUCAGAGCCCGUCAGCAGCAGGCGCCGAGCUGGGGAAGGGAAGCCACCCC